rnacentral:rRNA from 1 species
CACGUAGUUAGCCGGGGCUUCUUAGUCAGGUACCGUCAUUAUCUUCCCUGCUGAUAGAGCUUUACAUACCGAAAUACUUCUUCACUCACGCGGCGUCGCUGCAUCAGGGUUCCCCCCAUUGUGCAAUAUUCCCCACUGCUGCCUCCCGUAGGAGUCUGGGCCGUGUCUCACGUCCCAAUGUGGCCGUUCGCUCUCUCAAGCCGGCUACUGAUCGUCGCCUUGGUAAGCCGUUACCUUACCAACCAGCUAAUCAGACGCGGGUCCAUCCCAUAGCGAUAAAUCUUUACAAAACAGGACCAUGCGGUCCCGCUUUCCCAUGCGGUAUUAGCAGUCCGUUCCAGCUGUUCGUCCCCCUCUAGUGGGGCUACGGUUACCCACGUCGUUACUCCACCCGUCCGCCACUCAGUCAUCCCCAUACUGCCUUUCCCUUCCCCAGCAAGCUGGUUCUGUCCGGCGGGGUGGA